rnacentral:rRNA from 1 species
UUGGAGGGCAAGUCUGGUGCCAGCAGCCGCGGUAAUUCCAGCUCCAAUAGCGUAUAUUAAAGUUGUUGCAGUUAAAAAGCUCGUAGUUGAAUUUCAGGAUUCAUCCGUUGGUCGGGCCUCACGGUCCGUACUGGUGUGAUGGGUUCCUACCUUCUGAAUAACCGGCAUGCCAUUAAUUUGGUGCGCCGGGGAAGCAGAACUAUUACCUUGAAAAAAUUAGAGUGCUUAAAGCAGGCAAGUGCCUGAAUAGGUUAGCAUGGAAUAAUAAAAUAGGACGGCAUGGUUCUAUUUUGUUGGUUUCUAGGAUCACCGUAAUGAUUAAUAGGGAUAGUUGGGGGCAUUAGUAUUCAAUUGUCAGAGGUGAAAUUCUUGGAUUUAUUGAAGACUAACUUCUGCGAAAGCAUUUGCCAAGGAUGUUUUCAUUAAUCAAGAACGAAAGUUAGGGGAUCGAAGACGAUCAGAUACCGUCGUAGUCUUAACCAUAAACUAUGCCGACUAGGGAUCGGACGAUGUUAAUUUUUCAAUGACUCGUUCGGCGCCUUACGGGAAAC